GUCAUUUUUAAUGUUUAAUGUGAUGCCAUUCAAAGGAAACACAUGAAACGCAUUUCUCUUGAACGAGGGCCAUUGGAGAGUCAGAAUCAUCUUAUCCGGUUGGGAAAUGUUUUUGUUUCCAUAAUGUAAGCUGUGCACAGACGCAGAUAAAGAGUUAUUGGACCUCUCAGCGAAGUUUGAUCCGAUCUUUGACACACUGCACUGCAAACACAAACAAUGAGGCAUACUGCCUGUAUAAUCAAUGCAACGGAUGAAAUGCUAUCUGAUAUUUACUGCAGGUCAUUUUGUUCUUCUCAGAAGAAAUGCAGAAAUGUGUCUGGCUUCUUCAUUCGGCCUCUGGCUUUACUCUUCAAAAUUAUUGGAAUUCAUUUGAAAAAAAUAAAUAAAAUAAAUGUCCAGUCUGAAUGGUGAACAAUCCUGGAGGUCACUAUAAACUCUUGUUAUAUGGGAAAAGAACAGUAUAUAAAUCUGCAACAAUAUGAGGGCGAGUAAAUAAUGUGUUUUUUUUGUUUUUUUUUCUUUCAGAACUAAAUCACUGAUGUUGGUUUUGAUGAGUACAGUUUAAGGCAUGCAUCUGUGGUUUACCAGUAAAGGGAGCAGAUUCUGUUGGGGAGUGUUGGGAGUACAGAAGCGCUCUCUUGAGCACUUGAUGUUGAUUAUGAUCUUUCAUUUGCUCAAUUUAUCACUCUGGUCACAUUAGUCAUAUCGCUCCUCUUUGGCAAUGUGGCCGUGAUAAAUCGAAUUCCUCAGAAGUAAACUAGGGCAGGAUGAGGUUGAGUUCUGUUCCUUUCCCACUCUACAUUUCCAGAUCUUUCUGCUUCCUUAAUCAGAGAUUUGAAACAGGUGUCCUUUCCAGAUAAAAAGCUUUCUUCUCCUUUUUAUAAAACAUGCUGUUGCAUAAUGAGAAGCACAUUUACCGCAUUGUUGAUUUGUUCUUCUUUUUAUUGGAUGUUCUUUUUUUUUUUUUUUUUUUUUUUUUUCUGGCAGGUCGUGAAGCUGGACCUCUCUUAUCAAGCUAAAUAACACCUGGAGGAAAACUUUUAACACACUUCACUUAGCUCAAUCCUCAUCAAAUCUAAAUGUGUCUGGCACAAAGAAUCUGUCUUCUAGAUCCUUCUUUGCUGAGCCAUGAGUCUAUUAAUGGCACUCCAAGGAAAACAAGUUUGGAGACCAAACAGGAAAGCGCUGGAUUUGUACCAGUUUCUACGGCAGGUGAGUCAGUGAUUUAGCAUUUGCUUUAUGAGUUGUGACGUGGGCUCUGGAGCCUCAAUUACACAUGGGUAAGAGACCAGGGCCAUAAAGCUGCAUUAUUUUAUAUGUGUACAUUAUAGAUUUAUACAUGCAUAUUAUGUUUUUGGGCUUUUUUUUGUCACAUUGCUGUUGCUUUCGCAUUUUUUUUAAACAAUAAGCCAUGCGAGGCCUUGCUUUACAGCUGUUUAAUCAAAGUAUAGGACAUUUUAAGAAGUAAUUACAUUUGUAAACGGAUCAGUGUGCUUUAAGGUUAGCUGUGCACAAAAAUUAAGUUAAAUGCACAAUUUAAUACUCUAUGACACUAAAGCCAUCUUUUAGUUGGUUGAAUGAUUUUAAUUUAGGAUUUAUUAUUAUAACCUUUAUUUAACCAGGAAAGGCUCUUUGAGACUCUCUCUCUUUCACAGGAGUGACCUGGCCAAAAUGAGCAGCAAUACAAUAAGUUUCAUCACAGACUUAC
ensembl:lncRNA